AUGACACCGAAGGAGAGUCGUCGGCGUCUGUAGCUUGAAGCUUCCUGUUCGUUUCGGCACAGACAAACGUUUCGACAUGACCGCAUGGCUCAAAUGGUCACUCGGUAUGUGCCAUCUGGGCAUGGGCCACUCUUCAAUCAAUCUUUGUCACGCCAGCUUGGGUACCUGCGCACUUCCAAGCAGCUGCUCGCACCAUCAACUCCAACAUCAAAUGCAGCUGUUAGCACUUUUUCGGGAACCCAAGGGUAGGACUAGAACAAUUUACGUCCAUGAGACCUGAUGUAUAUCUGAUGCAGCGCAUCGUAUCUCGCGUUCCACAGAGGCGGACGGAUUUCCGAGGGAAGUAGCUCUCGAAUGUUUAUGCUUCAAAGCAGUGCUGAUAUUGACCACGCUUCGGUGCACAAAGUUAGCAGUAGCUACAAUAUGAAAUAGAUUUAGUAAUGUGUGCUUGGCCAUGGAAAUUUCCGGUCUUUGUAUAAUGAGGCGCAUGGUAAAAGUGCCAACAGUUAUUAGAACAGCGUCCUAAUUUCCACAUUGCUUCAGGCGGCGUCCGCCACGUAUUGCCCGUGGAAGGGUUAGAUGUUACCUGACACGCGCUCUUGUGUUCACGAUACUACAUAGUUUGCAUCACUAUCGAGCCUUUACGCGGAGGAGUGUAAGACGCUUUGUGAGUACUUUAUUAAUAGCCGCAACCAACGCAUCUAAUGUGAUUCAUGCAGCAGUACUCUGGCAGCCAGGAGCUGUUGCCGCACGGAACAUGAGUCAGACGACGGCGUCUGUGUCAUUGCAAUUUUGAUGCCAUGCAACGGGACAAUCCAAUA